CUGGGUCCAUCCUCAGCAGGUAGAGGUGAGCUAGGGUCCGGCUUGGCUGGCCUACAAUGUCAAUGGCCUCUCCUGCUUUCCCAUCUUGGAGCUUGGAGUCUCCAGUGGGUAGUGACUGGCCCCCGAAGUGAGGCUUGGGGAAUGUCUGCUCAGUGAAGUCAUACUUUAUAGGGGUGCUCACCCCCUUACUCACACGCCCUGAAUGACUUGCAGGGCCCCAGAGACACUUGCACGUAUAUGACAUAUGCACGAGAUUAUUCACAGCAGCACUGUAUGACAGCAGAAGAUUGGAAACACCUUCAAUGCCCAUCAACGUGGGACUGGCUUGGACUAUGGUGACCCUAGGAGACAGGUACCAAUAUUAAGAAAAUGAAGCACAGAGACGUUAAGUAAUUGUUCAAGGCCUGUGAGCCCAGCUGAGUGGAGGAGCUGGGAACGGAAUCCACUGGAACCAUGCACCUCGUCUGCUGCCUCUUGGCACUCAGCCAAACCAGGAGUUUCGGGGAUCGCCUGGGGGUGAAAGGGGGAGGAGAGAGGUGAAGACUUGGUUGUGGAGGGCCUGAUGGUCCAGACCCCAUCACGAGCUUUACUUACCCACAAGGCCCCUCCUCAGACCCCUGGGGCUCGUCCGGCUCAAGGCCCCAAUGUGACAGGAGGGAGAAGCCUGAAGAAGAGAGGGACUUUCCCCAAGUGACGGACGUGUCAACAGCAGAGCUGCACUGGAACCCAGCCUUCCCUCAGCCAGACCACACCUGUAAUUUUGUUUCUGGGCCCAUGCCCAGCAUUUUCUCCUCUCCUGGUCUCUCCCAGUACUCCCUUCAGCCUGGCGCACUCCCCACCUGCCCUGGGAUGUUCUUACUCUCCCCUCAGGUCUCUGUGAUACCACCUCCUCCAGGAAGCCUUCCCUGAACUGUGCCUGCAUGGGGUCUGUGCCUCCUCAGGUUCUCCAUGGCCCCAGUGUGUCCCUCUGUCCCUCACCAGUGACCCGACCUGGCGGGGCCUGUCUCUCUCAGGGAGUGUGGCCUUGAGGGUGGGAACCACAUUCAACUCCCAGUAGGGGGCUGGAGCUGGCUUGUACUAACUUUUGAGAGUUGAUUAAACUUUCAGGAGUUUUAUGAACUGGUUAUUAAAUGCAGCCAUUGUUAAUAAUUAAAUUACAUAAACUUAUAAUUAAAUACAUUUUGUGAAAAAGGGAAAUGCACACCAAAAACUCAUCAUUUCCUAAUUAUUUUACUAUUAUCUAUGCCCAUGAGUUUGUUUACGCCCACCGUUUCUGGUGGUGGAGACACACUAUAUAAUGGUGUUCAGGGACAUCGCGUUGGUGGCUUGAUAUCUGCUGUGGUAGGA
rnacentral:lncRNA from 1 species